UCUUUCGGGGCAGGGUGAAAUUCCCAACCGGCGGUAAAUCAAGCCCGCGACCUGCAUUUGCUUAGCAUUUGUGGCUGAUUCAGUGAAAAUCUGAAGCCGACAGUAUAGUCUGGAUGGGAGAAAGA
rnacentral:ncRNA from 1 species